GUAGACGCUAUUCCCUAAGAUUAACCCAUGCAUGUUUUUGACAUUUGAAAAAUGGACUGCUCAGUAAUACUCACUUUAUUUUAUGUAAAUUUUUAAUUAACUACGUUAAAGUGUAGAUAAGAUGUUUACAGUAAGAGUGAGACCUAUCAGCUAGUUGUUAAGGUAAUGGCUUAACAAGGCUGUGACGGGUAACGGUAUUACUUUGUAAUAUUCCGGAGAAGGAGCCUGAGAGACGGCUACUAAGUCUAAGGAUUGCAGCAGGGGCGAAACUUGACCUAUGGAUUUUAUCUGAGGCAGUUAUGGGAAGUAAUAUUAUAUUGUUUCAUAUUUUAAAAGUAUAUGAGGUGAUUAAUUGGAGGGCAAAUCAAGUGCCAGCAGCCGCGGUAAUACUUGUUCCAAGAGUGUGUAUGAUGAUUGAUGCAGUUAAAAAGUCCGUAGUUUAUUUUU
rnacentral:rRNA from 1 species